rfam:Schistosoma rodhaini strain Burundi genome assembly, scaffold: SROB_scaffold0005471
AGCUGACGAGUCCCAAAUAGGACGAAACGCGCGUCCU